rnacentral:lncRNA from 1 species
GGUGUGUGCCACCAAGCCUCGCAUGUCAGUUAAUUUCUUCAUGGUAUAUUAUCCUGGACAAUGGGAGUAGUACUUUGCAAAUGUGUAAAUAUUUUGGAUUCUAAUAUCUUCCUCUGGAGAAGUUUGAUUUUUGUUUUAGGAAGGAGUUUAGUUUUUAGCUACCAUUGUGACCUUGGGGUUUGGGAUCUAGGGAGGUUAUAGUUUGUUCAACCCAGGUAGUGAAAGGCUAAGGAGUUUCCCAAAGCCCUCUAAAUUGCUCUUCUUUUCCUUUCUUUGAUACUAAGAAUUGAACCUAGGAGUGCUUAAUCACUGAAUCAUAUCCCCAUUCCCUUUUUAAAAUUUUGAGACAGUGUCUUGCUAAGUUGCUGAAGCUGGCUUUGAACUUGUGAUCCUCCUGCUUCAACCUCCCAAGUGGCCACCACACCCAGCUUC